rnacentral:misc_RNA from 1 species
ACAAUGACGUCGGUCACUGGAGCAUUAACAACACCGACGACCAAUACCACAGACCUGGUGACAACUAGAAACCAGCGAUACACUACAGAAGAUAUGACCACUUCAAACUAUACCAAGAACACCGAACCAGCUUCAGGGCCACAGAAUGAGGGUGGGGGAGAUAAUCCACGAUGGCGUCCAUCGCAGUGGCCUACAGCAGCCGUACUGGGAGGCAUUGUUCUGUUGGCAUUAAUCGGAGUAGUGGUGGUACUGUUGUAUCGGAAGAAAAGACAAAGGUGAUAGACUAGUGCUCACACAAUUCUUUUUAUGAAAUACAUCAUUUGUGUUUGGCUGCAGACCUGUGUAUUGGUGAAAUAUUAAAGAUUGGCAGUCCUACCUUACAUAAAACGACGCAAAAAACGGUGCUUGCUUUAUACCUAAACUUCAAAUACUAUGUGUUUAAAUUCUUCAUUAACAUUAUACCUUAUAGACAUUUUACAACUGAAUUUAUUAAGAUUUCUCUAUAACGCCACCAGCAACUCAUGAAUUCUAUUUAUCCCAUAUUUUAUACACCGCAAUCAAUGUUUACACUGUUUAUAAAACUCUACAUUAUUUUUACUUCAUUAUGCCUAGGCAAAUCCCAUUGUAAAGUCACAACUGUGGAAUAUCAAAAAAAUAUCCAAUGAGUCAUAUCCACGGGAUAAAGUGGGUUAACAUGGGAUGAAAUAAAAUUUGUUAAAAAAACAAAGAAUUGAUACCAAUGCAAUGAUACCUAGGCUUUGCCUCUAUUCAAUAAAACUAUCAUAAAUCAUUGUGUACGGUAUUUUAACCAAAAAAAAUAUGAAUAUUAUAUUUCAAAUCCAUAUUUCAAAGAAUGUACACAAUACUACACAUCAUUCAAAAUUGACCUUAACUUCAAAACAAAGUUCAUUUGCAGACACAGGCAGUGCAGUAAUUAAUCUCAAUGUGACAGAUAAAGAUAAAGCUUAGGAUUUUCUUCCUGUGGAAGGUUAAUUAAUCCCAAAGGACAAAUAUUGCACAGCCUUCCAUGUAUACAAUGGUAACAUUCUCAGCAGUUAUCUCUCUUUGCCCAUUCAUUCUCAGCAGUUAUCUCUCUUUGCCCAUUCUUCUUAUGCAUAGUUAGGAAUCUACCCCACCACCCCAGCUCCAAACCAGAAGACAUAGAGAACCAAACUUAGCAUCAAAAUAUGUAUUUCUGCCUACUGAACUACCAUACCAAAUUUGAACUUGAUUGGGCAACCAUAAAAAAAGUUAUUAGAAAAAAACAGGAAAUUUGUGGACGGAAGAGUGACAGACGGACGGACGGACAGAAGGACGGACGGACAGAGUGAUUACUAUAGGGCACCCGCAAAUCCUUGCGGGGCCCUAAUUAAAGUGUUUAAAAUUGUGCAAGCGAAGUCGUUUCAAUUUCUUCUUGUUACAUGUAACAAACCCUUUUCUUUUUGUUUAUGGAAUUUCUCUGAUUGUUAAGACAAAGUAACGUAACAGCAUCAGUACAUGAAUGUACAUAGAUCUUUUGGUAUCAACAGUUUUCACAGAUUGGUUAGAAGUUAGGUUAGUAAACCCUCAAUUUGCAUGAUUUUGAGCACCGUAAGUGACAAGUGCUUUGUGUGUUAGAAACUGAAACUAUACAUGACCUGUCAACAUGACUUUUUCCAUUAAACUACUGAUCUGGAAUUCGAUUAUAUAUAUUUUUAAAUCAUCGCAUAUACCAAUUAUUUUGCUGUUGCAGAGAUUUCCACAAGCGACAUAAGAGCUCGGAUGAGAGGAUGGGGUUUAUAGAUGCUGAUGCCGAGAACAGACGGAGUGACAUCGCCCUACAGCUUCUGCAGGUCACCGACCCCUCGUAUUUUGAACUCGAGGAGGCGGCUCAAAACGCCAAGCUGCAGGAGCUUCAGGGUCAGAAUGAUCUCAACAUCAUGGAGAUCAUACAAGGGCCUGAAGUCCAGGGAAACGACGAGCAAGGUCCAAUAAAUACCAAGGACAGUACUAGUGAAAAGUGUGAUAAAAGUUCUAAAGAUGGAGAAUUAAAUGCCGCGAACAGAGCUUCAAAAGGCAGCGUUUCUGGUGCCCUAGUAAAUGACAUUAAACGUAGUGAAGACGCAAGCGUACUGGAAGGUAAGCAAAUUGAACAAACCAUCGAACGAAAAUCGAACAUCAGUGCCGCAAAUAGUAACGAAAAUAAAGCCACAGUGACAAGGUCUUCCAAUGCUGAUGCAGUAAGUAAUCCAUCUGCGAAACGUACCUCAGAAAAAAUUCGCUCGACGCGCUUAUCGUCCAAUAUUCGAAAAUCUAACGUGAAAGAAGGUGAUCAUGCCAACGAUACGACAGGUCAGGAGCUUAACCCCCGGCACAGCGUCAAUAAUAGCAAAACCAACACCACAAGUGAUGAACAUCAGACGGAGGAGCGGAUCAAACAGAGACGGUCUGCGAGAUCAAGUGGGGGCUAUUCCUCGGACAAAAGGGCCAGUGAGAAACUGACCCAGAACCCCCCGGUACAACGUCCGGUGAAUGGUGUUGCUGACGUCACACGACCCAUCAGCACGAGGAGCAGUAAGCACUCGUCUGCCAGCUAUGAGGAGACCAUUAUGCAACUGAAACAUAUUGAUAGUGAUCCAAACCUGGCUAGUUAAAUGUGAAGUGACUGUUCACAGUAGCUGUGCAUAAUAUUGUGACUGAGUAUCGUGGAUUGAACCAAACUUAUUUUUGAUAGCGUAACAAAACCAAAUUUGGAAUAAGAUGAAAAUCCUGUUUGACUAAAUUGGCCUGUCAUUUAUGAAAAGUCAUUCAACAUUGCUCACGCUUAGCAAGAUCUACAGAAAACGUCAUUCAUACUUAUUUGCAGGUGUAAAACAAUCAGAUUAAAUUCAUUUAUUGCUAAAUGUGGUUUCAUUUUGUGAUAUAUUC